rnacentral:lncRNA from 1 species
GGAUGGGAGAUUUCAAGAAAUGGAAACUAUAAUUAGAUACACAAAUAAGGUCAGGCUCAGCCCCCCUUUAUAUCUUUUUGCUUAAUACAAAACCGCCCGAAACUAUAAUUAGAUACACAAAUAAGGUCAGGCUCAGCCCUCCUCUAUAUCUUUUUGCUUAAUACAAAACCGCCCGAAACUAUAAUUAGAUACACAAAUAAGGUCAGGCUCAGCCCUCCUCUAUAUCUUUUUGCUUAAUACAAAACCGCCCAGAGAUAAGAUUGCGUAAAAAAAAGUUAACUUUUUAUUUUAAAUAUAAUUAGACUUAAUUAUUUUUAAUAUUUUGAGAUGAGCUAAUAUUAAGAAUUUGAAUAAAUAAAAAAAUAUUUUUCAAAACAAAUAAAAGC